rnacentral:rRNA from 1 species
UACAGAGGGUGCGAGCGUUGUUCGGAAUUAUUGGGCGUAAAGGGCGCGUAGGCGAUGCGGUAAGUCACCUGUGAAAUCUCCUGGCUCAACUGGGAGCUUGCAGGCGAAACUGCCGUGCUGGAGUGUGGGAGAGGUGCGUGGAAUUCCCGGUGUAGCGGUGAAAUGCGUAGAUAUCGGGAGGAACGCCAGUGGCGAAGGCGAGUCCCUGGACAACACCUGACACUGAGGCACGAAAGCUUGGGGAGCAAACAGG